GUACUAGCUUCAGCAUUACAUAUGCAAAAAUUGGAACGAUAUAGAAAAGAUUAUCAUAUCUCCUGCGCAUGAAUGACAGGCAAAUUCGUGAGACGUUCCAUCUUUCA
rfam:Octopus bimaculoides Scaffold57741_contig_60, whole genome shotgun sequence.